rnacentral:piRNA from 1 species
UACAUAUUUGAAAAUUCUUUG